rnacentral:rRNA from 1 species
UUCCGGUUGAUCCUGCCGGAGGCCAUUGCUAUCGGUGUCCGAUUUAGCCAUGCGAGUCGUGCGGGUUCAGACCCGCGGCGAACUGCUCAGUAACACGUGGCCAAGCUACCCUCUGGAGACGGAUAACCUCGGGAAACUGAGGCUAACCCGUCAUACCGCUUCCGAGCUGGAGUGCUGGAAGCGGGAAACGCUCCGGCGCCGGAGGAUGCGGCUGCGGCCGAUUAGGUAGACGGUGGGGUAAUGGCCCACCGUGCCGAUAAUCGGUACGGGUUGUGAGAGCAAGAACCCGGAGACGGACUCUGAGACAAGAGUCCGGGCCCUACGGGGCGCAGCAGGCGCGAAACCUUUACACUGCACGUCAGUGCGAUAGGGGGACACCGAGUGCGAGGGCAUAGAGCCCUCGCUUUUCUGAACCUUAAGGUGGUUCAGGAAUAAGGGCUGGGCAAGACCGGUGCCAGCCGCCGCGGUAACACCGGCAGCCCGAGUGAUAGCCGAUAUUAUUGGGCCUAAAGCGUCCGUAGCUGGCCGGGGAGGUCCGUCGGGAAAUCCACUCGCUCAACGAGUGGGCGUCCGGCGGAAACCCUCCGGCUUGGGACCGGAAGACCGAAGGGGUACGUCCGGGGUAGGAGUGAAAUCCUGUAAUCCUGGACGGACCACCGGUGGCGAAAGCGCCUUCGGAGGACGGAUCCGACAGUGAGGGACGAAAGCUAGGGUCUCGAACCGGAUUAGAUACCCGGGUAGUCCUAGCCGUAAACGAUGCUCGCUAGGUGUGGCACAGGCUACGAGCCUGUGCUGUGCCGUAGGGAAGCCGUGAAGCGAGCCGCCUGGGAAGUACGUCCGCAAGGAUGAAACUUAAAGGAAUUGGCGGGGGAGCACUACAACCGGAGGAGCCUGCGGUUUAAUUGGACUCAACGCCGGACAUCUCACCAGCCCCGACAACAGUCAUGACGGUCAGGUUGAUGACCUUACCCGACGCUGUUGAGAGGAGGUGCAUGGCCGCCGUCAGCUCGUACCGUGAGGCGUCCUGUUAAGUCAGGCAACGAGCGAGACCCGCACCUCUAGUUGCCAGCAGUAUCGCGAGAUAGCUGGGUACACUAGGGGGACUGCCGCUGCCAAAGCGGAGGAAGGAACGGGCAACGGUAGGUCAGUAUGCCCCGAAUGGGCUGGGCAACACGCGGGCUACAAUGGUCGGGACAAUGGGACGCGACACCGAGAGGUGGAGCUAAUCUCCUAAACCCGAUCGUAGUUCGGAUUGAGGGCUGAAACUCGCCCUCAUGAAGCUGGAUUCGGUAGUAAUCGCGUGUCAGCAGCGCGCGGUGAAUACGUCCCUGCUCCUUGCACACACCGCCCGUCAAAGCACCCGAGUGGGGUCCGGAUGAGGCCUGGGUUGCCAGGUCGAAUCUGGGCUCCGCAAGGGGGCUUAAGUCGUAACAAGGUAGCCGUAGGGGAAUCUGCGGCUGGAUCACCUCCUU